rnacentral:rRNA from 1 species
GGUAAUUUGACUAUACAAAGGUAUUGAAAUAAGGUUUUAAAUGAAUGCUAAGAGAAUGGAUGAAUGAGAAUUGAUUAUCUUUAUUUUAAUAUUAGAAUUUAAAUUUUUAGUGAAAAUGCUAAAGUAAAUAAAUGGGACAAGAAGACCCUAUGAAUCUUAAAUUUUNAAAUUUUAGUUGGGGUGACGGAUAAAGAUUAAAAAUCUUUAUUAUGAUUCAUGAAUGUGAUUAAUAAAUAAAGAUACUCUAGGGAUAACAGCGUUAUUAUUUUGGAUAGUUCAUAUUGAUAAAAUAGUUUGCGACCUCGAUGUUGAAUUAAAGAACCUUUUUGUUGAAGAAAAUAAAAAAGGUAGAUUGUUCAUCUAUAAAAUCUUU